UACCAUGCAGUCGACGGAAGGGCCCUGCUUUUGUGGGGUGCUCGAGUGGCGAACGGGUGAGUAACACGUGAGUAACCUGCCCCUGACUUUGGGAUAACUUCAGGAAACUGGGGCUAAUACCGGAUAGGAGCUCCUGCUGCAUGGUGGGGGUUGGAAAGUUUCGGCGGUUGGGGAUGGACUCGCGGCUUAUCAGCUUGUUGGUGGGGUAGUGGCUUACCAAGGCUUUGACGGGUAGCCGGCCUGAGAGGGUGACCGGCCACAUUGGGACUGAGAUACGGCCCACACUCCUACGGGAGGCAGCAGUGGGGAAUAUUGCACAAUGGGCGGAAGCCUGAUGCAGCAACGCCGCGUGCGGGAUGACGGCCUUCGGGUUGUAAACCGCUUUCGCCUGUGACGAAGCGUGAGUGACGGUUAUGGGUAAAGAAGCACCGGCAAACUACGUGCCAGC
rnacentral:rRNA from 1 species